rnacentral:lncRNA from 1 species
CCAAGAUCCACUUCUUCUAGACCCUUACUUCUUCUUUAUCAGAAACCGGAGGAGAGAGGCAUGGGGGAGCCUGACAGGAAGUGAGGAUUCUGGGACUUCAAAUACACACAUUAGAAAAAACAAGCAACAUCUGCAAACAGACAGGAAUCCAGGCUGAAUCGGCAGUGUAGUUUCAACAGGGAUGAAAACACGGAAGACCACCUCUCCCCUUGCUGCUGCCGAGAGGAGCAA